CCUACGGGAGGCAGCAGUGAGGAAUAUUGGUCAAUGGGCUUACGCCUGAACCAGCCAAGUCGCGUGAGGGAAGACUGCCCUAUGGGUUGUAAACCUCUUUUGUCAGGGAGCAACGCCGGCUACGUGUAGCCGGACUGAGAGUACCUGAAGAACAAGCAUCGGCUAACUCCGUGCCAGCAGCCGCGGUAAUACGGAGGAUGCGAGCGUUAUCCGGAUUUAUUGGGUUUAAAGGAUGCGUAGGCGGAAUGCCAAGUCAGCGGUAAAAUCGCGGGGCUCAACCUCGCUGGGCCGUUGAUACUGGGAGUCUUGAGUACAGGUGAGGUAGGCGGAAUUCGUGGUGUAGCGGUGAAAUGCUUAGAUAUCACGAAGAACUCCGAUUGCGAAGGCAGCUUACUAGACUGCAACUGACGUUGAUGCUCGAAAGUGUGGGGAUCAAACAGGAUUAGAUACCCUAGUAGUC
rnacentral:rRNA from 1 species